UUUUUUUUUCUACAGGGGAGAUUCGAACCUUCGACUUCAAACAAGCCUGGUUCGACAGCGGAGCGAGGCUGAUCGUAGGCGUCUUCGCCUACGACCCGAAGGGCGAGGCGCAGCCGAGUAAUCCUUCAUGGCCCACCA
rnacentral:sRNA from 1 species